UCCCGCCGGACCUGACUGCUAUCGGAUUGAUACUAAGCCAUGCGAGUCUUUGUAGUAAUACAAGGCAGACGGCUCAGUAACACGUAGUCAACCUACCCUAUGGACAAGAAUAAUCUCGGGAAACUGGGCAUAAUUCUUGAUAGAUCAUAAUGCCUGGAAUGGUUUAUGGUUAAAAUGAUUCGUCGCCAUAGGAUGGGACUGCGGCCUAUCAGCUUGUUGGUGAGGUAAUGGCCCACCAAGGCGAUUACAGGUACGGGCUCUGAGAGGAGAAGCCCGGAGAUGGGUACUGAGACACGGACCCAGGCCCUAUGGGGCGCAGCAGGCGAGAAAACUUUGCAAUGUGCGAAAGCACGACAAGGUUAAUCCGAGUGAUUUCUGCUAAAGAAAUCUUUUGCCAGUCAUAAAACCACUGGUGAAUAAGGGGUGGGCAAGUUCUGGUGUCAGCCGCCGCGGUAAAACCAGCACCUCAAGUGGUCAGGAUGAUUAUUGGGCCUAAAGCAUCCGUAGCCGGCUUUGUAAGUUUUCGGUUAAAUCCAUGUGCUCAACGCAUGGGCUGCCGAAAAUACUGCAUGGCUAGGGAGUGGGAGAGGUAGACGGUACUCAGUAGGAAGGGGUAAAAUCCUUUGAUCUAUUGAUGACCACCUGUGGCGAAGGCGGUCUACCAGAACACGUUCGACGGUGAGGGAUGAAAGCUGGGGGAGCAAACCGGAUUAGAUACCCGGGUAGUCCCAGCUGUAAACGAUGCAGACUCGAUGAUGCAUUGGCAUAAUAGCCAGUGCAGUGUCGCAGGGAAGCCGUUAAGUCUGCCGCCUGGGAAGUACGUACGCAAGUAUGAAACUUAAAGGAUUGGCGGGG
rnacentral:rRNA from 1 species